rnacentral:rRNA from 1 species
UGAAAGCAUCUAAGCGGGACACUGGGGACAAGAUGCGCUCUCAAGGCAACCUUGAGUACCCUAAAGGGCCGUCGAAGACUGCGAAGGCGAUAGGGUAGGUGGGUAAGCGCUCUGAGGCGUUGUGCCAACAUAUACUAAUUGCCUGUGUGGCUUGACCAUAUACCCCACAAGC